rnacentral:rRNA from 1 species
UACGAAGGGGGCUAGCGUUGCUCGGAAUCACUGGGCGUAAAGCGCACGUAGGCGGGUCGUUAAGUCGGGGGUGAAAUCCUGGAGCUCAACUCCAGAACUGCCUUUGAUACUGAAGAUCUUGAGUUCGGGAGAGGUGAGUGGAACUGCGAGUGUAGAGGUGAAAUUCGUAGAUAUUCGCAAGAACACCAGUGGCGAAGGCGGCUCACUGGCCCGAUACUGACGCUGAGGCACGAAAGCGUGGGGAGCAAACAGG